rnacentral:rRNA from 1 species
GCAAGUCGAACGGUAGCACGGGUGCUUGUACCUUGUGGCGAGUGGCGAACGGGUGAGUAAUACAUAGGAACAUGUCUUGUAGGGGGGGAUAGACCAGCGAAAGCCGGAUUAAUACCGCAUACAAUCUACGGAUGAAAGCGGGGGACCUUCGGGCCUCGCGCUAUAGGGUUGGCCGAUGGCUGAUUAGCUAGUUGGUGGGGUAAAGGCCUACCAAGGCGACGAUCAGUAGCUGGUCUGAGAGGACGACC